rnacentral:rRNA from 1 species
CCUACGGGAGGCUGCAGUAGGGAAUCUUUCACAAUGGGCGAAAGCCUGAUGGAGCAACGCCGCGUGCAGGAUGAAGGCCUUCGGGUUGUAAACUGCUUUUAUAAGCGAGAAAUAUGAUGGUAACUUAUGAAUAAGGAUCGGCGAACUACGUGCCAGCAGCCGCGGUCAUACGUAGGAUCCGAGCAUUAUCCGGAGUGACUGGGUGUAAAGAGUUGCGUAGGUGGCAUAAUAAGUCGCUAGUGAAAUCUGGUGGCUCAACCAUUCAGACUAUUAGCGAAACUGUUAAGCUUGAGACCGUUAGGGGUAACUGGAAUUUCUAGUGUAGGAGUGAAAUGCGUAGAUAUUAGAAGGAACACCAAUAGCGUAGGCAGGUUACUGGGACGGUUCUGACACUAAGGCACGAAAGCGUAGGGAGCAAACGGGAUUAGAUACCCGAGUAGUC